rnacentral:rRNA from 1 species
UGGGGAAUUUUGGACAAUGGGCGAAAGCCUGAUCCAGCCAUGCCGCGUGCGGGAAGAAGGCCUUCGGGUUGUAAACUGCUUUUGUCAGGGAAGAAACGGUCUGGGCUAAUACCCCGGACUAAUGACGGUACCUGAAGAAUAAGCACCGGCUAACUACGUGCCAGCAGCCGCGGUAAUACGUAGGGUGCAAGCGUUAAUCGGAAUUACUGGGCGUAAAGCGUGCGCAGGCGGUUAUGCAAGACAGACGUGAAAUCCCCGGGCUUAACCUGGGAACUGCAUUUGUGACUGCAUAGCUAGAGUACGGUAGAGGGGGAUGGAAUUCCGCGUGUAGCAGUGAAAUGCGUAGAUAUGCGGAGGAACACCGAUGGCGAAGGCAAUCCCCUGGACCUGUACUGACGCUCAUGCACGAAAGCGUGGGGAGCAAACA